rnacentral:rRNA from 1 species
UACGUAGGGGGCAAGCGUUGUCCGGAAUCAUUGGGCGUAAAGCGCGUGUAGGCGGUCCGGUAAGUCGGCUGUGAAAGUCCAGGGCUCAACCCUGGGAUGCCGGUCGAUACUGCCGGACUAGAGUUCGGAAGAGGCGAGUGGAAUUCCCGGUGUAGUGGUGAAAUGCGUAGAGAUCCGGAGGAACACCAGUGGCGAAGGCGACACGCUGGGCCGUACCUGACGCUAAAGCGCGACAGCAUGGGGAGCAAACGGG